GAUAAGCCGGAGGAAGGUGGGGAUGACGUCAAGUCCUCAUGGCCCUUACGCGCUGGGCUACACACGUGCUACAAUGGCAAGUACAGUGGGCAGCAAUCCCGCGAGGGUGAGCUAAUCUACCAAACUUGUCUCAGUUCGGAUUGUUCUCUGCAACUCGAGAGCAUGAAGGCGGAAUCGCUAGUAAUCGCGGAUCAGCAUGCCGCGGUGAAUACGUUCCCGAGGCCUU
rnacentral:rRNA from 1 species